AGCGCCGCCGGAAGGGGCGGUGCGCCAGCGGCGGGCGCGCGCGGCGCGGGCGGACUCUGUGCUCCCCAUUGGCCCGAGCGCGGUGACAUCAUCGCGGGCGGAACCAAUCUGAGCCUGGAGCUCCGGACCCCCCCAGCCUGACAAGAGCCCCCCAAAAAAAUCCCCAAACCCCCCCCAAAAAAAAAAUCCCCCCAAAACCCCAGGGACUCCCCAGCCCCCCCCCCCCCCCAAAUUUUGGGGUUGGGGACCCCCAAAUUCCUCCCAAGACCCCCCCCCCCUCCCAAACCCUUCC